UACGUGAAACCGUUCAGGGGUAAACCUAAGAAACCCAAAAGAUCGAACGGGGAGAUUCAUCGUCAGCGGCGCUGGCUUCGCGUCGGUGGGCGAUGUCCCGCGGAGUCCUCGCGGCUCGCGCGCGGGCACGCUACCGUGCGUCGAUGUCCGGCGCUCGUCGUCGUGCACUUCUCCCCAAGUAGAACGUCGCGACCCGCUGGGUGUCGGUCUACGGCCCGGGUGCGGUGACUGUCGCGUCGCCGGUAAAACGGCACGCGACAAACCCCCGGUCGCCCGGCCGGCUGCUCGGCGGUACGCGCAUGGUAUCAGGCCGCACUAUUUUACGGUGCGUCGAGGCCGUCGCAAGCGCGCGCCACGGUACUCGGAGGUUACGGACUUUGCGCCGUCCCCGGUCCUGGUCCGCUGUUGGUUAAAGUACGGUUCACCUUCGACAGGCCUGCGAACGUCUCUCCCCGGAGAGACCGAUACCGGUCGGCGACGCUACUGCUUUGGGUACUCUUAGGACCCGUCUUGAAACACGGACCAAGGAGUCUAACAUGUACGCGAGUCAUUGGGACUUGUCGCGAGACCUAAAGGCGUAAUGAAAGUGAAGGUCGGCCCUGGCCGUCGACCGAGGGAGGAUGGGCCGCGUCGCGAUGCGGCCUCGCACUCCCGGGGCGUCUCGUUCUCAUCGCGAGAAGAGGCGCACCCAGAGCGUACACGUUGGGACCCGAAAGAUGGUGAACUAUGCCUGGUCAGGACGAWRUCAGGGGAAACCCUGAUGGAGGUCCGUAGCGAUUCUGACGUGCAAAUCGAUCGUCGGAACUGGGUAUAGGGGCGAAAGACUAAUCGAACCAUC
rnacentral:rRNA from 1 species